UAGGGAAUCUUCCGCAAUGGGCGAAAGCUUGACGGAGCAACGCCGCGGGAGUGAUGAAGGUCUUCGGAUCGUAAAACUCUGUUAUUAGGGAAGAACAAAUGUGUAAGUAACUAUGCACGUCUUGACGGUACCUAAUCAGAAAGCCACGGCUAACUACGUGCCAGCAGCCGCGGUAAUACGUAGGUGGCAAGCGUUAUCCGGAAUUAUUGGGCGUAAAGCGCGCGUAGGCGGUUUUUUAAGUCUGAUGUGAAAGCCCACGGCUCAACCGUUGAGGGUCAUUGGAAACUGGGAAACUUGAGUGCAGAAGAGGAAAGUGGUAUUCCAUGUGUAGCGGUGAAAUGCGCAGAGAUAUGGAGGAACACCAGUGGCGAAGGCGACUUUCUGGUCUGUAACUGACGCUGAUGUGCGAAAGCGUAGGGAUCAAACAGG
rnacentral:rRNA from 1 species